GCGGAUAUGAUGUAGUGGUAGCAUAACUGCUUCCCAAGCAGUUCGGGUGGGUUCGAAUCCCGUUAUCCGCUCCA
rnacentral:tRNA from 1 species